UACAGAGGGUGCAAGCGUUGUUCGGAAUUAUUGGGCGUAAAGCGCGUGUAGGCGGCUUUGCAAGUCGGGUGUGAAAGCCCUCAGCUUAACUGAGGAAGUGCGCCCGAAACUGCUUGGCUUGAGUACCGGAGAGGAUGGCGGAAUUCCCCAAGUAGAGGUGAGAUUCGUAGAUAUGGGGAGGAACACCGGUGGCGAAGGCGGCCAUCUGGACGGAUACUGACGCUGAGACGCGAAAGCGUGGGUAGCAAACAGG
rnacentral:rRNA from 1 species